UACAUAAUAGUCUGAAAAAGUAGUCAAUCUGACCUGAGUCCUGUAGAAACGUCUGAUGCAGAUGAAGGCCCUAGCAUGAGUGGUGCUCAGAAGAAAGCAGUAAAGAUGGAGGUGCUGAUAAAAAGAGGCUGGUUCGCAGUGAGUGGAAUCAAGCCGGAGAUUCAUUUGUCAAAAAACCCAACAAUACACUCUUCUUCGACGGGAGGCAAAUAAGGAAAACAGGAUGGUAUAUUCCAGCUUGGCGUUCUCACCCAGGUCAGCGUCCGUUGCGGAGAUGCGUCCUAUCUCAGCGCCCGGGAUGGCCAGCUCGGAAACGGAGAAGGACCACAUACCUGGGGAGAGACACGCGACGGCACAUAUUAGAGGAGCGCUGUCAUUUCAUUAGCUCUGAUACGCUUCAUUUGUCAGUUAAACAUUUAAUUUUGUCUUUUGAAGUGUAUUCAAAUUGCUGUUCCCCACCUGCGCUGAGCUAAUAUUUACAACAUUUUGCUGCGAUAAGGCAGCGUUUAAAUUAAAAGAAGUGAGAGGAUGAAGGAGAGAGAUAAAAGCAGAGUGUGCAUUUGAGCGCUCUGCACAGAUAUUAUUAAAAGACAGGUAGAAUAUGGCCAGAAAACCUACUGUUAAAAAAAAAACUAAAUUAAAAGAACCUAAGAUUUUAAAAAAACAGAAGGGUUUGAGGAGAUAAAGAAAAAGAAAAGAUUACAGUAAAGAGAAGCUGCUCUGGCUCUCUGAGUUGUCCAUUCAUUCCUUCUGCUGAGACGUAUUAAUCAAGAUAACAGGCUCUUUCAUGUGUGUUGGUUUAUGUUUAGCUGUCAGCCCAUUAAAGCAGUACGUUAUCAGUCCUUUUGCUGGCUUUGCAGUUUACAUAAUAUGUCCCUCUUCUCAUCCAUCGGGCACACCUAUGUGAUAAAAGCAUGGAGGACCCAAAAAACUGAUAUUUCUAUAGAAAAAGCAGAUGCACAUGCACUUAAAUUCAAAUAGCCACCUUUCAGUUUGUCCUAGCACGCACACAGUGGCCACCGACAAGAAUAAGUGAGGUAGUGGAGAUAGAAAGUGAGUGAAAGGAAAAGGUAAGAUAUCACCAUUUGGCACGCACACACAGAACAGACAAGCUCAUUCAAACAGAGCUGUUAUCAGCUCAGCUAAAGCUAAAGGAAUCAGAUAGACCUGUAAAUGUGAGCGAGAACAACAUCACACAAACACACCGGGCUGACGGAAUAAAAGAUAGCCCACCCUCGACAAGUGUCUGGUCCCACAACACGCAAUCAGAAGAAUUCGGCAAAUUUGACAACAUCACAGUGAGACAAACUUUUGAGGUCAUGUGACUUUGUGGAUCGGGAUUACAGACAUCAAAGUCUUUUAUCCAUGGAAACCAAUGUUAUCGCUCACUGUGUUUGUUGUCUUUCCAAGUCUGUUAAUGUCAAAUCUGUAAUGUGGGCUUCCGUACUAGUGAUUGCAGUACUCUCCCUCCAACAAGUCCUCCAAGUUAAAGUUGGAUAAAACGGUCUUGUGAAACCUCAACAACAAAGCUUCUCUGAGAUAAGCUGAUGCAAAAAUAAAGAGGUUUAAGUUGGUUUUAUAAAUCCUAAGACACUCUUAAAAUAUUUAUUUUUUUUAUAUACAUUACUUGUUCAGUUAUUCAGAUUUUCCCAAGGCAAUUUUAAGACACUGUUACAGAAACAGCAAGUUUAAAUCUGAAGGUACACUGAGUUUUCAGAACAUUUCAGUUAACACCAUGAUGUUGCUAAUUUGCAGAAUAACAGAUUAACAUUGUCAUUUUUGAAGACACUAGUUUUGGCAGGAGAUGAUAUGACAACUGCUUCUGAAACAGCAGACAGAUGCAUCAUGUGCUGCGUGUGCUGGCUCUAAAUGUUUGCUUUACUUUUCUUCUGUAAAGAUAUCAUAGGGCUAUUCUCACAUCAACUGUUCUCACAGUACAAACCAAUUUGAACUAAUGGUAUCAAACCGAGAGAACAUUUAUUCAAGACUUCGCACAAGUUUUUGCAAAAUUCAGAGAUUUCUAUCCAGUGUUGAUACUUUGUUAGUUCUUAGUCCCCCUCAGAAUGCUUCUAUUCUUCCUGCAUUGGGAUGUACUGCCCAUGGAAGAAGAGGUAGGGAUGGCAGAGGCAUACCCUCAGAAAGACAACAAGAAAUAUCACAAGAUACUCGCGGACCUGGAGCCCACAAGAAUUUGUCAGCGGCCUAUGCUGCAAGGAGGGCAAAGGGCCUAUCUAACAUUGCAAUACAGCUGAACCAUGAAACAUAUAGCUUGUCACCUUUUUCAGGUAACACAAGUCUUAAGACCUCCUGGGAGGCAUUGUGAGGAAAACAGAUUCUUUCGCUGUCCACAUGCCACAAGCCUGAUUCAAGGAUUCAAAUUUUUGAGCAGCAUUAGAAAAAAAUGAAGCAAUUCUUAAAUUCUUAAAAUGUUUUGAGCUGCACAUUGUUACAGAAACACAGGAUAUUUUUAUUCCUAUUUGUCUGCUGUUUACAUGUAUAUGUAUCCUGGAUCUGAGUAAUUGAUGCAUGAGAAGGAUAGCUAAUUUGUCCUUCCGUGGGCAUUACAGUAGGUAAAAAAACAAAUACAUCACAGAUAGUUCUCAUUUUCUUUACUUGUAUUUUAUUUUUCAUGGGUUUAUGAAUAUCACCUCGGGGUACACCACAGGCUGGGUCUUGAUGGUGCUUUGAUACGGUUUACACCCUC